rnacentral:rRNA from 1 species
GACAAACGCUGGCGGCGUGCCUAAUACAUGCAAGUCGAACGGGGAAAGCUUUCGGGUGGGUACUAGUGGCGCACGGGUGAGGAACGCGUGGAUAAUCUGCCUUAGAGUGGGGGAUAACUAGUCGAAAGAUUAGCUAAUACCGCAUAAGACCACGAGAGCUGCGGCUUUUGGGGGCAAAGGUUUUUCGCUCUAAGAUGAGUCCGCGUAAGAUUAGCUAGUUGGUGGGGUAACGGCUCACCAAGGCGACGAUCUUUAACUGGUCUGAGAGGAUGAUCAGUCACAGUGCAACGGAGACACCGUCCAGCCUACUACGGGAGGCAGCAGGAGGUAAUAUUGCACAAUGGAGGAACCGCUGAUGCAGCGCCGCCGCGUGGGUGAUGAAGGCCUUCGGGUCGUAAAGCUCUGUCGCAGGGGAAUCACACAAUGAAGGUACCCUGUAAGAAAGGAUCGGCUAACUUCGUG